GGAGAGGUGGCAGAGCGGCCGAAUGCGGCGGUCUCGAAAACCGUUUACCCGUUCGCGGGUACGUGAGUUCAAAUCUCACCCUCUCCGCCA
rnacentral:tRNA from 1 species